rnacentral:rRNA from 1 species
UACGUAGACCUCGAGCGUUAUCCGGAUUUACUGGGCGUAAAGAGUGCGUAGGUGUCUUUUUAAGUCUCUGGUGAAAUCUCCGGGCCCAACCCGGAAACUGUCAGAGAAACUAUUAAGAUCGAGUAUGGCAGAGGCAAAUGGAAUUCCCGGUGUAGCGGUAAAAUGCGUUGAUAUCGGGAAGAACACCAGUGGCGAAGGCGAUUUGCUGGGCCAUUACUGACACUGAGGCACGAAAGCGUGGGGAGCGAACGGG